rnacentral:rRNA from 1 species
CUGAAAUAACAUAACUCACUGAAUUUUCCUAAUUUUGGAAGCUAAGCGGGGUUGUGCCUAGUAAGUACUUGGAUGGGAGUCUGUCAGGCAUACCAUGACUUUUCCCAUA